UACAGAGGUCCCAAGCGUUACUGAGAAUCACUGGGCUUAAAGGGUGCGUAGGUGGUCCGUUAAGUCAGUUGUGAAAUCCCCGGGCUCAACCCGGGAACUGCUUCUGAUACUGGCGGACUUGAGGCCAGUAGGGGUCACUAGAACUGACGGUGGAGCGGUGAAAUGCGUAGAUAUCGGCAGGAAUGCCGGUGGUGAAGACGGGUGACUGGGCUGGUUCUGACACUGAGGCACGAAAGCGUGGGGAGCGAACGGG
rnacentral:rRNA from 1 species